GCUCACUUCAGCAGCAGCGCGUGCACUAAGACUGGGAUGCUACAGAGAGGAUUAGCAUGUCCCUGUGCAAGGAUGACACACAAGUUGUGAAGCGUUCUAUAUUCCU